rnacentral:rRNA from 1 species
AUUGAACGCUGGCGGCAGGCCUAACACAUGCAAGUCGAGCGGAUGAAGGGAGCUUGCUCCUGGAUUCAGCGGCGGACGGGUGAGUAAUGCCUAGGAAUCUGCCUGGUAGUGGGGGAUAACGUCCGGAAACGGGCGCUAAUACCGCAUACGUCCUGAGGGAGAAAGUGGGGGAUCUUCGGACCUCACGCUAUCAGAUGAGCCUAGGUCGGAUUAGCUAGUUGGUGGGGUAAAGGCCUACCAAGGCGACGAUCCGUAACUGGUCUGAGAGGAUGAUCAGUCACACUGGAACUGAGACACGGUCCAGACGCCUACGGGAGGCAGCCGUGGGGAAUAUUGGACAAUGGGCGAAAACCUGAUCCAGCCAUGCCGCGUGUGUGAAGAAGGUCUUCGGAUUGUAAAGCACUUUAAGUGGGGAGGAAGGGCAGUAAGUUAAUACCGUGCUGUUUUGACGUUACCAACAGAAUAAGCACCGGCUAACUUCGUG